AGUGAACGCUGGCGGUAGGCCUAACACAUGCAAGUCGAACGGCAGCACAGUAAGAGCUUGCUCUUACGGGUGGCGAGUGGCGGACGGGUGAGGAAUACAUCGGAAUCUACUUUUUCGUGGGGGAUAACGUAGGGAAACUUACGCUAAUACCGCAUACGACCUACGGGUGAAAGCAGCGGAUCUUCGGACCUUGCGCGAUUGAAUGAGCCGAUGUCGGAUUAGCUAGUUGGCGGGGUAAAGGCCCACCAAGGCGACGAUCCGUAGCUGGUCUGAGAGGAGGAUCAGCCACACUGGAACUGAGACACGGUCCAGACUCCUACGGGAGGCAGCAGUGGGGAAUAUUGGACAAUGGGCGCAAGCCUGAUCCAGCCAUACCGCGUGGGUGAAGAAGGCCUUCGGGUUGUAAAGCCCUUUUGUUGGGAAAGAAAAGCAGCAGGUUAAUACCCCGCUGUUCUGACGGUACCCAAAGAAGAAGCACCGGCUAACUUCGUG
rnacentral:rRNA from 1 species